AAUCAACGCUGGCGGCGUGCCUCAGACAUGCAAGUCGAACGCGAAAGCUCCCUUCGGGGAGCAAGUAGAGUGGCGCACGGGUGAGUAACACGUAGGUAAUCUACCUUUGGAUGGGGAAUAACAACCGGAAACGGUUGCUAAUACCGCAUAAUGCAGCGGCACCUAAUGGUGACAGUUGUUAAAGCGGAGGAUCGAAAGACCUCGCGUCUGAAGAGGAGCCUGCGGCGGAUUAGCUAGUUGGUAAGGUAACGGCUUACCAAGGCGAUGAUCCGUAGCCGGCCUGAGAGGGCGGUCGGCCACACUGACACUGACAUACGGGUCAGACUCCUACGGGAGGCAGCAGUCGGGAAUUUUGGGCAAUGGGCGAAAGCCUGACCCAGCAACGCCGCGUGAAGGAUGAAAUCCCUCGGGAUGUAAACUUCGCAAGAACGGGAAGAAUAAGCCGGUGUCAACACCACCGGCGAUGACGGUACUGUUUGUAAGCUCCGGCUAACUCCGUGCCAGCAGCCC
rnacentral:rRNA from 1 species